rnacentral:sRNA from 1 species
CACCACCAAUGCUUGGGUUCUGUUCUGGACAAGGGCCUAAUCACAGAGUGGGGUAGGAGGUCCUGAAGGAGGAUAAGAACCAUUAGGGUGGCCGCUUCUGCAAGGACCCACACUGACCACCACCCUCCCUGACUUUUGCUUCAGAUCCAGUCUUCCCUAGGGCCACCAGCAGGUCAGGACCUCAAGCACAAAAGUUUCUACAGGAUAAAACAGGACAAUCGACCUCCCUAACAACUCUGAGAUCCUCAGUUAUGAUUUCCUACCUGAAGAUGCUUGGUUGGAUUUCUCUAUUAGAGACCUUUAAAGAAGUUGAAUUUUCUUUUAGGAAAACUCAGGUAACGACUGAGGAGUCAGCAAACAGUCAUGGAAUGGCGCCAUGUGUGGCUUGCUCCCUGCCAGCCAGUGGGUUAUCUUUUGGUAAAUUGCCUCUCUGUUUUAUUGCAACUGUCUCAGAUAGCCCAGGCUCAAGGUCAUUCUUCAAGUUCCUUAUAUGACUGCGUAUGACCUUGAUCUUUUGAUUUUUCCCGCCUCUACUGUCUGAAUGCUGGGAGUAUAGCCAUGUACCACCAGACCUGGUUUUACGGGAUCCUGCGGAUCAAAUCCAGGGCUUGGUUCAAGUAAGGCAAUCCUUCUGCCAACUGAGCUAGUGAGCCCCAUCUAAGAGACCACUCAACUCUAUUAAGAUGAGCCGAAAAGGGCAACUGAGUCCAGUUUUGGCUCUCUCUAGGUAACACUUCUCGGUGCCUCUCCAUAAACCACAAAGGUGGGAUCCAGAUGCCAUUUAAUACUGUAAUUACAUGGAGGCUGUUUGUUCAUCUAGUUUUGACUUCUCUGUCUGCUGUCUGGAAACAUUUUCUUUUGAGUGAGAUUCAUAUCUCAAGAAGCAAACAGAAAACUAAAAUUCAUGAGUGAGAAGUGGAGAAAAGAUCACUACAACCCCUUGCAAAAUAAAGGGUAUGCACACAACCCCCUGGAUGCACUUCCUAAAAUAGGUGUGUGCCAUUCUGCUCAGCACCCCAGUGCCUGUCCUGGGAGUAGCUGUUCGUGGGCUGUUCUAAUAGAGUGCUAUUAAAUGAUGAGGACAAGAAGUUCUCUUUAGACACUAUGCCCGGAGAGGACGGUCCCAUGCAAAUUCUCCUAUUGUCAUUCUUUUAGCUCAGAUUUAUAAUUGACUUUCUGUUAGCCAUCGUAGCAAGUUAAAUUAAUGCAGCAGGAUUACAGUCGUUAAACAAAUGCUGGGUAAUGCCUGCUUGCUUAUUUUAGCAGUUCCUCAAACCACUGUGGUAGUGCCCACAUAAAGCUUUUGGCUCCAUUGUCACAUUAAUUGAGCUGUACAUGGAGUUUCACCACAGAAGCGAACAUGCCGCUUCGUAGCAAUGAGCAUGAUUUAGGGCUUCUGCCGGACCAAUUUACCUUUGUGUUUUCUCCGUUGCACCUGCUAUUGUCUUAGGUACAAUUUAUGAGUUCAUGACAUCAUCCAUGUAGCUUAAGACAAUUUCUACCUGAUUUAAGGACAGAAGAAGAGGAGGAAGAAUAGAGGGGGUGGGGAAGGAAAAAGAGUUUUUAAAACGGAAACAGCGGCAAAAAUUGUUCCGCACACACCGCAAGAAACCCAAGAGACAUACAUGGUCAGUGAUGGUUUUAACUCAUUUCUGCAUGGAUCAGUCACUUCAGGAAUGGCCUGCCAGCUAAAAGAGCGGGAGAGAAAUAAUUCUUUCAGUCUUGAGUUAAAACCGCAUUGGCACAAAUACAUGGAAGAAAUGAUUGUCAGCCGGACGGACUUAGCCUGCAGUCCACCUGCAGGACCCUGUUGAUGUCCAGGGUCAUCUGCCUGGUGCCACCUUAGAAACUGUCCUGAUUCUGUACAGGACACUGAAUGAUAACACCCUGCAAGUCAGCUGACUGCUGUGUCAUACUGCAUUCCUGCAGAUGCCAGUCGAGAUGCGGCAGAGGCAGACAGCUAGGCACAGAGGAGCCGAGUUGUAAACUUUGCUUUUCCUGAUGCUGCCUACUGUCGCGCAUACGAAGAACAUUACCUCUGUGUAGCCAGGAGCUGAGAUGCAGUCUGAAUGUGCACGGUGGCUUCUGACGUGGCAGCGUGAAUUCUCAGCUGGGCAGUUCAAAAGACACGUACAGAAGCUCUCAUCUAUACUGUCAUCCAUCUGGUUCCUACAAACACUGUCCUGCACCAUGACUGGAAGAAGAAGCAUUUGGAGGUUUCCCCAAGAAACUAGUUGAAUUGAGUCCUGAUGCUUUACAGCCACUAAGAAUAAUCAAUGCCCCUGCCUCUUUCAAAGCUGCUGUCAGUGUGUUUAGUACAGAAAACCACAGCCGCACAUCUGCUGCUAAUAAAAGUUCCUGAUCGGCGAUGCCCGUUGCCUUUCAAAAUGCAUUUCCUUUGCUCCCAAACUGGUCAUGGGCCUAGCCAAAGCUUGUUUCUGUUCUCAAGACAAAUGACACUGUGCUUAUUCCAAGAGGAACAAACGACCAAGUUGAAUCUGUGUCAGCCACUGAAGGAAACAUUGAUUUAGAAGAACUGUGAGCUUUGACUUAAGGAAGAGGCCACUACUAUCCAGUCAAGAACAUCAGCAGGCUCUGGUCCCUGCUUACAGUUCCCUAGAGGGUGAGCCUCAGAACACCUUACAGAGAACCAAGGAGCACUAAUUAUACCCUGAUCAGCUCAAUAGCAAGAGGAUCCAGAAGAUACCCAGGUCCUGGGGACACUAACAGAGAGCCUGAACCAUAGUCUGAUCAUCAGUAGAUGUGGCACAAGGACCCUCAGGAGAUGAACAGAUGACAGUGGAGAAUGUCAGUAAAUGGCGCACUCUAUGUCUUGGCCAUCAUUCAUUGUUUCCCAAAGGCUCCUGUGAGCCCUUGUCAGCUGCCAUGCAGUGUUUGAGGUAUAGGAGAAACAAGCUCAAACAGAAAGGAUAUAAAGAAACACUGUCCUCCUCGACCUGUGCUUUUAAAAAGCUAGCAGAUAAGAUGUAGUUUCAACCAACAUGUUACUUGGAGUCUUGUGUAGCCCAGGCUGACCUCAAUCUUGGUAUGUGACUGAGAAUAACCUUGAACUUCUGAUCUCCUGCUCCCACCUUCCACAGGUUGAGAUUACAAGCCUGUGCCACCAUACUCAGUUUAUGUGGCGACCGGGAUCAAAGUCAGAGCCUCCUGUAGGCACUCUGCCAACAUAGCUACUUGUACUGGAUGGUUUUGUGUGUCAGCUUGACACAAGUUAGAGUCACCAGAAGGAAAGGAGCCUCAGUUGAGAAAAAUGCCUCCAUGAGAUCUAGCUGUAGGGCAUUUUCUUAAUUAGCGAUUGAUAGUGGAAGGUCCAGCCCAUUAUGAGUGGGGCCAUCCCUUGGCUGGUGGUCCUGGGUUCUACAAGUAUGCAGGCUGAGCAAGCCUAGUGGAAGCCAGGAGAAGCCA